GCUUAUUUUAACCCAUCUCCUUCAAGCAUACUAAGUUAAAAAAACAAAACAAAAAAAAAACCCUUAGACACAGUCUUUAUGUAUUUGUUUUAGUUCUUUUAGGACCUUCAAGCAUACUGUUAAAAACACAAAAAAAAAACCCAUGCACAGCUUAUGAUGUUUUGCUUUUUAGGAUGGUCAGAGGGUCCUCUAUCCAAAUGUAGCUGGACAGUUGGAUAUCGCUACAGUGUCCGGUGAUGCAAAACCACUCACUGUUUCCCUAAAACAGCUGAGAGUGCAGUCAGAUCAAAUGACUCCCCCCGACACAACCGUCCCCGGCAUCAGCUGCCAUGCCUCCAGCAGGCCCUCUGCUGCUCAACAGCAAACCUGGAGGUGAACCUCAAUCCCACUCACACAGCUCACUGCUGCUCUAAAACUGCUGUGCUUCUCCAGCCCCACUGGUGAACGUGAAUCAUAUGAAAAUGCAUGGUUUUUAGGGAGCAGAUUGUGCACAGAUUGAACAUACAAAUGAGACUAUAUGAAUUCAGAUGAAUUAGCCACUAAUUUGCCAAAGUGUUGGUCAUUCUCAAAGUAAGCUGUGAUUUCUUUUAAGGCUGCAGCAUCUCUGCCGAUCAGAAAGUGUUGCGUGUCACCUCGGGUGUAAUGCAAGACAGGUGCCUGGCUAAAGGAUGCUGUUUUGAUGCAGAGACCUCAGUCUGCUGUUAUUCCAUGGAUGAAUGCACUGCUGAUAAGAAAUUUGUCUUUGUUGUUUAUAAUGAUUUUGCAAACAUCCCUGUGAACCCCAUGAGCCUGAUGUUUGCUGGAAAGCCUGGUUGCAAGCCUGUUAUCUCCAACAAAGACUUUGCCAUCUUCAAGUUUUCUGUCUCUUUCAUGAAUAUUUUGUGAGUCGGCUUCUUCUGUACACUGAUUCACUGAAUUUAUUUAAAUAAGAGGACAGCUGCUGUAGUUCUGCAGGUCCUUGGCGAGACGAUAAUUUACCUGGCUGAGGUACAGACCAUCAUCAGAGUUCUCAGCCUGAAGUACGGCAUGAUCUCCAGGGAUAAUCCAUUCAGGUUUUAAAAAUGAUCUAGCCUGUUCUUUUGCUUUCUUCAAUGCAUGUGCCUGUUCUUAUAGUGCAUUUUUUUAUCAGUACAUAUUGUUCCAAGUCUUCACUGUAAAAAAAAAAAACCUUGACCUAUCUCAAAAUAAGGCAACCUAUCACACUCAACUUAAGUUAACUCAAGCAACCAACAACUUAAAACCUUUAGCUCAUCUAAUGAAUAAAAGUCAGUCUAUUGAAUUUUCAAAGAUCUGUCAGAUCAACUAAAGAUUAUUUAGCAAUGCUAAUCCUCUUUAACAAUAGUGUUUUUUAUAUUUAUCAUUAUUUUCAAAGCCUGCUGUAUAAAGUGGGUAA
rnacentral:lncRNA from 1 species